AGUGAACGCUGGCGGUAGGCCUAACACAUGCAAGUCGAACGGCAGCACAGUAAGAGCUCGCUCUUACGGGUGGCGAGUGGCGGACGGGUGAGGAAUACAUCGGAAUCUACUUUUUCGUGGGGGAUAACGUAGGGAAACUUACGCUAAUACCGCAUACGACCUACGGGUGAAAGCAGGGGAUCUUCGGACCUUGCGCGAUUGAAUGAGCCGAUGUCGGAUUAGCUAGUUGGCGGGGUAAAGGCCCACCAAGGCGACGAUCCGUAGCUGGUCUGAGAGGAUGAUCAGCCACACUGGAACUGAGACACGGUCCAGACUCCUACGGGAGGCAGCAGUGGGGAAUAUUGGACAAUGGGCGCGAGCCUGAUCCAGCCAUACCGCGUGGGUGAAGAAGGCCUUCGGGUUGUAAAGCCCUUUUGUUGGGAAAGAAAAGCAGCAGGUUAAUACCCCGCUGUUCUGACGGUACCCAAAGAAUAAGCACCGGCUAACUUCGUG
rnacentral:rRNA from 1 species